rnacentral:rRNA from 1 species
UCGAGGAUCUUCGGCAAUGGGCGCAAGCCUGACCGAGCGACGCCGCGUGUGCGAUGAAGGCCUUCGGGUUGUAAAGCACUGUCGAGGGGGAGGAAGCCCCGCAAGGGGUUGACCUAUCCCUGGAGGAAGCACGGGCUAAGUUCGUGCCAGCAGCCGCGGUAAGACGAACCGUGCGAACGUUGUUCGGAAUCACUGGGCUUAAAGGGCGCGUAGGCGGGCGAUCAAGUCAGGGGUGAAAUCCGUCGGCUUAACCGGCGAAGAGCUUUUGAUACUGGUCGCCUCGAGGGAGGUAGGGGCAUGCGGAACUUCCGGUGGAGCGGUGAAAUGCGUAGAGAUCGGAAGGAACGCCGGUGGCGAAAGCGGCGUGCUGGACCUCUUCUGACGCUGAGGCGCGAAAGCCAGGGGAGCAAACGG